AGAAAGGGAUUUGACAGAGAAUUUUAAAGUUAACUUGCUACAUAGUAGCAUUUAAAUAAAAAUACAGGGCAAACAGUGCUCUCACUGUUCACCCUUGAUCACAGCCCGACCGCCUGACAGUGCAUAGCCAGAGGAUAUUCCAGACUGCCCAGUUUUAAGUAGAUAAUUUCCUCACUGCAGCAGGGAUCAUCACUAAUACACUGUUGUUUGAUACUGGGAGUAUUUCAAGGAACGAACAAGAGGAUCCUCCUCUCUCGACGUACAAGGGCAGAGCUGCAUGGGGCACACGCUGAAGGUUACAGUCCUAGCCCACUAUUUUCUCCCUUAAAUUAGGCCAAGAUCUCACCUCCCGAUUCCUACGUUGACACCUCAGGAAGCAGCAGUGCUCCUUGCGCAGGGUCAGGGUCUGCUCUCGCUAGUAGAUGGCUCAUGUCCUUGUAUUCACCAGUGACCCAGAGACUCGUUUCGCCCUCCGGCAGCAAAGAGCCUGCGAGUCAAGGGGGAAAAGCAUCCAAGAUCUUGGCUCACUCAUGCUAAUAAAACAGACAGCCAAGUAAUGGAGAGAGACCCUAUUAAUUUCACUAGGAUGGAUCAGACACUGAAGAUGCUCCCUGUCCUCCACAAAGCACUUCAGCAUCACAUCCAGCACGAGGAGCCGCCGUCUCAGCAGCUGGGGCAGCCCCUCUGGACGCAGCAGUGUGGGGCAUUCAGAACCCUUUAGAGAUGACAAACUCUCCAAAGCAAGACAAGUCAAGCUGUCUUUUCUCCAUGCUACUUCCCUCAGUGUCCCACCUUCAUUUCAACAGUAGCAGCCAAUAAUACAUGAAAGAGGCCAUCUCCAUAUAUCGAGAAAGCAGAAAUUAAAAAUCACUGCAAUAACACCAAUUUGUAGCAUCUGACUACCUGACCCUUAAUAUCAAGUAGUUUCAUCAUCACUAGACAGUGCAUUAUGAAAUGUUCCUAUACUUAAUACUGCUUUGAAUGAUGAAUGAAAAUAAGAUGAAUGAUUUGAUAACUUGGUGAUCAAAAAUUUCCAUUGUACUUUCUUCCUCGUUAGAAAAAGUUACAUUAAAAAAAGAGAAAGAUUAAUAUAGAAGUGCCAGAUUUUAAGCAAUGAUCGAGGACUUUACAUAAAAAAGCUCAGAAAGUAAGGACAGUGAAGUAUUUUUAGGUGUGCAAUAAAACACAGCAUUUUAACAUAUAUAUAUGUCACUUUAGGUUCAGUGUGCGAUAAAUUCCCAUUAGUAUCUCACUGACAAUUGAAUCCUGCCUGAAUACUAAAUAAAGCUGUGUGGCUGUGCUUCUGCUAAGCCCUGUUAUGUGAAAAAAGUGAGUUUGAAAAAACAUUGGAAAAAGAGUCUCUGCAUGUGAGGUUUAAUCACAAAUGCUUCUUCGAUGGCCACUACACGAACAGAGCUGGAGGGAUAUGGCCACCCAUGAGCACGCUUCUACAGCACGAUGUAAUCACGUGUCCUGGGCUUCAAUCUGGCCUUCAACCUUGACCUGUGAAGGAUUUCCUUCAACACACCAAUAUUAUAUGUA